rnacentral:rRNA from 1 species
AACGAACGCUGGCGGCAUGCCUAACACAUGCAAGUCGAACGAGACCUUCGGGUCUAGUGGCGCACGGGUGCGUAACGCGUGGGAACCUGCCCUUAGGUUCGGAAUAACUCCCCGAAAGGGGUGCUAAUACCGGAUAAUGUCUUCGGACCAAAGAUUUAUCGCCUUUGGAUGGGCCCGCGUUGGAUUAGCUAGUUGGUAGGGUAAAAGCCUACCAAGGCGACGAUCCAUAGCUGGUCUGAGAGGAUGAUCAGCCACACUGGGACUGAGACACGGCCCAGACACCGAGGGGAGCCAGAGGGGGAGAGAAGUGGACAUGGGGAGAAAACCGAAUGAAGCAAGGCGGAGUAGGGGAGGAAGCGCUGAGGGUUGAACAGCUCUUGCCGCGGGGAUGAUAACGGAAUUAGGGGGGUAAAAAGCUCCUGCCACCCCUGGCCAAGCAACCGGGGUAAAGGUUCGAAGAGCCACCUCCGACC